rnacentral:rRNA from 1 species
CGCUGACGAGUGGCGGACGGGUGAGUAAUGCUUAGGAAUUUGCCCAGUAGUGGGGGACAACCCGAGGAAACUCGGGCUAAUACCGCAUACGCCCUACGGGGGAAAGCGGGGGACCUUCGGGCCUCGUGCUAUUGGAUGAGCCUAAGUCGGAUUAGCUUGUUGGUAGGGUAAAGGCCUACCAAGGCGACGAUCCGUAGCUGGUCUGAGAGGAUGAUCAGCCACACUGGGACUGAGACACGGCCCAG